CACGAACCUCGCGGUCGUGGUGCGUCCGAAAGCCCGAUUCCAGUAUUAUUGCUUUCACCUGAAAGCAAUAAUACUGGAAUCGGGCUUUCGGACGCACCACGACCGCGAGGUUCGUGAGUC
rnacentral:pre_miRNA from 1 species